rnacentral:rRNA from 1 species
AGGGAAUUUUCCACAAUGGACGAAAGUCUGAUGGAGCAACGCCGCGUGAACGAUGAAGGUCUUCGGAUUGUAAAGUUCUGUUGUCAGGGACGAACAAGUACCGUUCGAACAGGGCGGUACCUUGACGGUACCUGACGAGAAAGCCACGGCUAACUACGUGCCAGCAGCCGCGGUAAUACGUAGGUGGCAAGCGGUGUCCGGAAUUAUUGGGCGUAAAGCGCGCGCAGGCGGCUAUGUAAGUCUGGUGUUAAAGCCCGGGGCUCAACCCCGGUUCGCAUUGGAAACUGCGUAGCUUGAGUGCAGAAGAGGAAAGCGGUAUUCCACGUGUAGCGGUGAAAUGCGUAGAGAUGUGGAGGAACACCAGUGGCGAAGGCGGCUUUCUGGUCUGUAACUGACGCUGAGGCGCGAAAGCGUGGGGAGCAAAC